rnacentral:rRNA from 1 species
UACAGAGGGGGCGAACGUUAUUCGGAAUCACUGGGCUUAAAGGGCGCGUAGGCGGGCCCGAAAGUCAGGGGUGAAAGCCCACGGCUCAACCGUGGAAGUGCCUCUGAUACUUCGGGCCUCGAGGGAGGUAGAGGCGUGCGGAACUUCCGGUGGAGCGGUGAAAUGCGUAGAUAUCGGAAGGAACGUCGGUGGCGAAAGCGGCGCGCUGGACCUCUUCUGACGCUGAGGCGCGAAAGCCAGGGGAGCGAACGGG